rnacentral:miRNA from 5 species
UGAACACAGCUGGUGGUAUCU